AUCAGGACGGAAGAUCUGUCCAUAGGGACCAGAUCUGAUACUAUCCAUCGUACCAGGCUCUAGAUCCAUCAAAACCGCCCUAGGAACAUAACGUCCACCAGAAGCUUCAUUGAAAUAAACAUUGAUACGUUCAAGCUGAAGAUCGGACUCAGCGGCGGUUCCUUUGUAACGUCCGGUAGGAUCAACACCGUGUUCAUCACAGAUAACUUCCCAGAAUUUGGAACCGAUUUGGUUUCCACAUUGUCCUCCUUGAAUGUGAAGAAUUUCUCUCAUUUUCUCUUAGUUUUUUUGAUGAAAAAAAUUGAUGAGAGGAAUGAGAGAAUAAGAAGAAGAAGAGAU
rnacentral:misc_RNA from 1 species